rnacentral:rRNA from 1 species
CCUACGGGAGGCAGCAGUGGGGAAUAUUGGACAAUGGGGGGAACCCUGAUCCAGCGACGCCGCGUGAGUGAAGAAGUAUUUCGGUAUGUAAAGCUCUAUCAGUAGGGAAGAAAGAAAUGACGGUACCUGACUAAGAAGCCCCGGCUAACUACGUGCCAGCAGCCGCGGUAAUACGUAGGGGGCAAGCGUUAUCCGGAUUUACUGGGUGUAAAGGGAGCGUAGACGGCAGUGCAAGUCUGGAGUGAAAGGCGGGGGCUCAACCCCCGGACUGCUCUGGAAACUGUACGGCUGGAGUGCAGGAGAGGUAAGUGGAAUUCCUAGUGUAGCGGUGAAAUGCGUAGAUAUUAGGAGGAACACCAGUGGCGAAGGCGGCUUACUGGACUGUAACUGACGUUGAGGCUCGAAAGCGUGGGGAGCAAACAGGAUUAGAUACCCGGGUAGUC